UGCCCGAGUCCGACGCACCGGUUUCCGUCUGUCGCACUCGACGUCAACCGGAGAACGCGCCAUCGCCAAUGGCCGCCGACGGUAACUACCCAGCCCUCGUUCGAUCCGUCCGAAACCCUAAUUUGAUCUUUUUCCCGCUUCAAAUAUCUGUUUUCGUAUUCCUUCGUCUCUCUAAAUCUCCCCCUCGAAUUCGACACCGGAGACAGAAACCGGCUGAUGAUGAAAGAGAAGACCUCCUCAUCCAAGGCGAGUUCAAUCGGUUGAUAUUAUGGGACCCUAAUCGUUGUUCUCUUUCUUCCUGGUUCUUGAUUUUGCUUGUCAAUCGGGCUCUUCAUAUGUUGGAAGAGGAAGACUUCCAUGACUACGGCAAUGAUUUCCACGAGGAUUCCCAAUGAGUUCUUGUUUGGGUAAGGCGAGAGGGAGAUUAAGAAGAUGGAUUUUACCCAGCUGGAGCUGAAGUCGGAUCACGUGAACAGGCCGCUUUGGGCCUGUGCCGAUGACCGUAUCUUUUUGCAAACCUUCUUCCCUCUCUACAAGCAAGCCUACGGUUACCUCGUUGCCGUCACAGAGCCUGUCUGCAGGCAUUGUGGCAUGAAUAUAAUUUGACGCCGCACACACUGUGUGCUGCGGUUUCAGUUGGUCUGAAAAUUGAGACCAUCAUCAGUGUUCCGAGCAAGCUGUUAGAAAUCGAAGUUACCACCUGGGGUAAUUGACUCUUCGUCGAUCAGUCGACCGCCAACUAUCGCAAAGUUGAGCUCGUUCUGAAAAAGACUUGGAAUUUCGUUGAGCCACCAUUUCCAGAGGUAUUGAAGCAAUUGCUAAAGGUGAUGUCAUAUCAAAGGCACGGAUUAACUCUGAUGACGAUUCUCACGAUGCUGAUACAUUCACAAUUAGCAAAUCUGUGUAUGAAAUACGAGGUGGUCAUGAGGACUUACUGAAUGGGGCUAUGUUAGCUGCUGCAGCUGAAGAGAAAGAAACUCAUUUGAAAUAGAACCUUCCCAGCUGCAAUAGAAAAUCUCAUGCCACAAUAUCUGAAUUCGCAGGUAGAAAAUGUCAAGCAACAUUGCUUGCUUAAUGGACUAAACUAUCCUAUCCUCCAGCGGUAUGAUUUUUGCAAUGAUACAGCUAGUCAUUUAUGUGUUUAAAACUUGAUUGAGCUUUUUAAGUAUUAAAAUUGACUUCCAGUGAGUCAUUUUUCUGUCCAAAAAUUGAUUGAGCAAUUUUAAACUAUUCUAUGCUCGA